rnacentral:rRNA from 1 species
GAGUCCCGACAAAUCACGUGCCAGCAGUCGCGGGAAUACGUGAGGGGCCAGCUUUCUACACAUGGAUUCGGCGUACAGCGCGUUCCUGCGAGUUAGCCCUAGGUGCCGUUGGGCAUUGUUUGGUGUAUCGGUUAAAUGAGAGGAGCCCAAUCGGAACGCCAUCGGCGAAGGCACCAGCGGGCCUAGGGCCUUAGCAAACACGCGGAAGUCUGGGGAGCGAAACGGAUUAGAGACCCGUGUAGUCCAGACCGUCAACUACGGGUGCGAUUACUUCCCACCCCGCCUGAUGAUACUAUGAUUCCCAUAUCAAAUCAAAGAUCCUGGCAGCGACCUAUAUACGCGGUGGAAUAUGCGGUUUAAUUCGAUCCAACGCGCAAAAUCUUACCACUCUUUA